CACCACAGGGGGCACAGGGUGGGCACAGGUAUGGCACCACAGGGGGCACAGGGUGGGCACAGGUACUGCACAGGUAUGGCACCACAGGGGGCACAGGUACUGCACAGGUAUGGCACCACUGGGUGCAUGGGGGGGGCACAGGUACUGCACAGGUAUGGCAC